rfam:Pisolithus microcarpus 441 unplaced genomic scaffold scaffold_69, whole genome shotgun sequence.
GGUCUUGUAGUGUAGCGGUUAUCACUCAGGAUUCUGAUUGCGGAUUUCCUGAAACCCAGGUUCGAAUCCUGGCAGGACCU